UCAUCGUUGGACGGCGCUCCCACCGGUGGUCGUCCGUGAGACCACCAUCGCCGCCAUGACCCUUUCGCGUUGCCGGCCCUAAUCUGAAGCGUCGUCCUCCCCGAGAUCCUGCUGGUGGUCGCCUAUGGGAGUUGAUGUUGCCGACGUUCUCCACAAGGUAUUGCUCUGACAUACCUCAAGUCCAGCGGCCGGCAUGACAUGAUUCAUGGCCUCCGUCAAGCGAUCUAUCCACUCCCUGAUCUGGGCAGGGAGACCACGGAUCUGACCUGCUCUCUAGGUUUCUUUUCUUUUAUUGUUUGGAUGUAUUUUCCGUAUGGGUGACACGGAUCUGAGUCUUGGGUUUUCUUGUUCUUGUACGGAGGAGAUCUGGGCAGGGAAACCACGGAUCCGACCUGCUCUCUAGGUUUCUUGUAUGGAUCUGAGCUUUGGGUUUUCUUGUUCUUGUUAUUGUCUUUCGAGAUCAAGAGGGAGAACUCGUCGAACCAGCAGUGACCUUCACGAAGCACCGGGCCGGGUCCCGAAGAAGACCCGCGAGAUGCGCAUGCUCUGUGACGGUGUGGUCGGCCGCGUCAUCUUCUCAAGCUCUAUGAUUUAUGGACUCCCAAGACAGUGAUGCCAAGGAUCCUGGAGAAGUGCCAGACCAACUCCCGGAAGAUAUUGCGUGAUGAGAAGCACAAGCUUCUUGUCUAAUCUACUUCAGUAAUCAAAUAAACAUAUUCAGAGUUUGCAAACCCCAGAAAUGUUUUUAGAUUAAUUGUGUAGUGAUCAACAUGUUGCUGAAGGAGACAACAAACAAACAGAUAGAGCUCAGGCCGGAGGACCCGCAGAUGUCGGAGUUUACUCGGAAAAUCACGGAGUUUACUCGGAAAAUCACGGAUUUCACAAGGCUUAAUGGGAAGAAGCACUACUCAGAUGUAUUUGUUGCUGGUGGGUACAAAUGACUUGGUCAACCUCCCAUAUGGUUGGAGCCGAUCUGCUCAAUUUAGCUUGCGUGAAAGGUUCUCCAACAUGACAGUGUUUGACAACAGCUACAAGCACGACAGGCCACUAACGAUGCGCAUCGGUGCAGGCAAGUGAUUGCAAUUGGGAAGCACAAGCUGAUGAUCCGACUUUGGCAUACAGACUUGAACAAGCGGA